UACGAAGGGGGCUAGCGUUGCUCGGAAUCAUUGGGCGUAAAGCGCACGUAGGCGGUUCGGUAUGUCGGAUGUGAAAUCCCUCGGCUCAACCGAGGAAGGGCAUCCGAAACUGCCGAGCUUGAGUACGGAAGAGGGUCUCGGAAUUCCCGGUGUAGAGGUGAAAUUCGUAGAUAUCGGGAGGAACACCAGUGGCGAAGGCGGAGACCUGGGCCGAUACUGACGCUGAGGUGCGAAAGCGUGGGGAGCAAACAGG
rnacentral:rRNA from 1 species